rnacentral:lncRNA from 1 species
GGGGUUAGAAGGAAAAGAGAGAUAGUCAAGUAUGUGGUCGAAGGUGAUACAUGUUCAGAAGUCAAGGCAAUGGGUUAGGAGUCCACUGGUUUGUUGGAAACUUUGGUAAUUCCCACGUGGAAAUGAAAAGACAUGUCUGGGGGUUUAAUAGUAGGAUUGUCUACUACCACCAAAGGAUAUGAUUCCAAUUGGGUUAGAGGGGACCGUCUUACACAUUUGGUUCCUGUGGAGUUCUACAUGUUACGAAUCGUAUCCCUAUGGGGGAUACAACAAGGAUCUCAGUUGUUCCCAGAUUCUAGAACAUUUUUGCAUGGAGCAAUGAGUACCAUUUUGGUCAAAAGUAGGUAAAAGAGUAAACUUGGAAUCAGAUUGGUUAUGGAAAGUACAAGUAAAG